GUGGGGAAUCUUAGACAAUGGGCGCAAGCCUGAUCUAGCCAUGCCGCGUGAGUGAUGAAGGCCCUAGGGUUGUAAAGCUCUUUCAGCUGGGAAGAUAAUGACGGUACCAGCAGAAGAAGCCCCGGCUAACUCCGUGCCAGCAGCCGCGGUAAUACGGAGGGGGCUAGCGUUGUUCGGAAUUACUGGGCGUAAAGCGCGCGUAGGCGGACUGAAAAGUUGGGGGUGAAAUCCCGGGGCUCAACCUCGGAACUGCCUUCAAAACUAUCAGUCUGGAGUUCGAGAGAGGUGAGUGGAAUUCCGAGUGUAGAGGUGAAAUUCGUAGAGAUUCGGAGGAACACCAGUGGCGAAGGCGGCUCACUGGCUCGAUACUGACGCUGAGGUGCGAAAGCGUGGGGAGCAAACAGGAUUAGAAACCCUAGUAGUCC
rnacentral:rRNA from 1 species